UACCAUCAACUACAGGUGUGACUAUUAGAACAAAUUCAUUUUUAGGUGAGAUUUAUGAUGGCGAUUCACAUUUCGGAUGUGGCAAGACUGGGCGGGGUCGUUACACCCAUAACUAUGGAGAAGUGUGGCUAUUAGAACGAAUUCAUUUUUAGGUGUGAUUUAUGAUGGCGAUUCACAUUUCGGAUCUUGCAACAUUGGGCGGGGUUGUCACACCCAUAACUAUGGAGAAGUGUGACUAUUAGAACGAAUUCAUUUUUAGGUGUGGUUUAUGAUGGCAAUUCACAUUUCGGAUGUGGCAAGACUGGGCGGGGUCGUCACACCCAUAACUAUGGAGAAGUAUGGUGUUUUAAGUACAU